rnacentral:lncRNA from 1 species
UUCGACCAUUCUCAUCUUCCAUUAACCCGCUUAGCUUUCCGCACAUCUCGCUGCAAGAAAAACAAGAUUACAAGUUAUAUCAUGCUUUUAUUUGGUUCAGCAAUAAAGCAGAUUGUAUGUUUUGUAGAGCAUUCAAGAAUUUGAAGAUUAUUGUUUGCAACAGCUACCAACCUAGUAUAUACACUCAUCCAAAGCUUGCUCCUGCUGAUUUAGAUUAUUAACUUCUGUCAUUAUACAAUAUUGAUUUUUGAGAGUUAUCGUAAUACUAUAUCCCUGCAAGAAUAUUCAGGUGCGUAUAGGAUUAGUAUGUCAAUUUCAGUAGGAAUAACAAAUUUACAUGAACAAUACCUUCAAACAUGAAAGGCCAUGAUCUAAUUUCACUCCUCAAUCAUUUAGGCCCCUGUAAUGUUAUGUAAAAUUAGCUCAUAGUACGUUAAUGGACAUGGUAAAUAAAUAUUAAUAAAUGACGGAAUACAAGUUCAAGAAAGGAAAACAACAUACUUCCAACGAAGUCUGUUUUAAGUUUCUUUUCUAUAUGACCAUUCCUUGGAGGACAUUUGUGACGUCAUUUGUUUAGAUCCAUUUGUGAUGUCAUAUAUGCUUCGAUUUGGACCUUGAUUGGGGUUAUAAUUUGUCAAACAAAAGUGUGUGCACUGUACAUACUUGAAGCUUGUGCACGCACUUCAAAAUGCCCCAGAAAAAAUACAAGUAAAUUUGAAGCUAAAUUGUUAUAAAUGUCCCAGAAAAACAGAAUCAAGAGCUAACAAUAUAUAGAAGUAUUAACCCUGAAGAAUCACACCUUUGGCCUAGACAAAUGGUAUGUAAGAAAAUAAGAAAAUAAGGACCAAAGCCCUGCUAACCAUCUACGAUUUCGUUUGUUCAAUUUCAAUAGAACAACAGCUCCAAAAUGUGAUAAUUUGGGGAAACUUCCAAAGAUUUGCACCGCAAUAGCCAGAAAGGUAAAGAAGCAUAGCAUGGCGGUGAAACGAGCACAGGAAAGCAACAUACCUGACCAGUGCCGGCGAGCGCAGCUUUCCUCUACAUAGUUAGUCGCUCCUUCCAUGCACAUCCCACUAUCUCAAGGUAAUCGUCGUUGGUCUCUCCACUGGCAUAGUCUCCACACUGA